UGGGGAAUUUUCCGCAAUGGGCGAAAGCCUGACGGAGUGACGCCGCGUGUGGGACGAAGGCCUUCGGGUCGUAAACCACUGUCAGUGGGAAAGAAGGAUGUCGACGCUAAUACCGUCGGCAUCUGACGGUACCUGCAGAGGAAGCCCCGGCCAACUCUGUGCCAGCAGCCGCGGUAAGACAGAGGGGGCAAGCGUUGCUCGGAAUUACUGGGCGUAAGGGGCGCGUAGGCGGGAUGGCAAGUCGGUCGUGAAAUCCUUCGGCUCAACCGAAGAACGUCGAUCGAUACUGCUGUUCUUGAGGAUUGCAGAGGAGACUGGAAUUCCCGGUGUAGCGGUGAAAUGUGUAGAGAUCGGGAGGAACACCGGUGGCGAAGGCGGGUCUCUGGGCAAUUCCUGACGCUGAGGCGCGAAAGCGUGGGGAGCAAACGGGAUUAGAUACCCCGGUAGUCCACGCUGUAAGCGAUGACGACUAGGUGUGGGGGGGUUCAGUCCCUUCUGUGCCGCAGCUAACGCAUUAAGUCGUCCGCCUGGGGAGUACGGCCGCAAGGUUGA
rnacentral:rRNA from 1 species